rnacentral:misc_RNA from 1 species
GACUACCUCUAUAUGAAAGAGGACUAAAACCAUAUUUCCAAACUCCACUUUG